AAGAGGGCUUAGAACACAUGUGCGCCGCGCUCGGCGAUAAACAUUUUAUAGGAAUGUUUGGAGCAAAAACUCCUUACCAAAUGUUCGUAUCGAUAUAGGGAGUUGCGAGCGAAGGAAGUUUGUAAUAUAAAUAAUAAAUUCGGAUCGUUUCUUUAACAAGCCCGAGAUUUCUGUACAGGAUAUACGGAGGAUAUGGAAAGUUAAUAACAAAUUAUCAGCAUAAAAUCAUAAUCAAAUUAUAUCGGUCAUAAUUUUCCUCAAUGAACAUCUACCUAAAGUCAUCUAAGGGCCUGGCCACAGCUACUGGCGGUGCGUUAUGCGGUGCGUUGCGAGGCGCGGCGGGCGGUGUGACUUGCGGGGGUAUGCCACAGCUAGACUAGUUGCGACGGCGGCGGCGUCAGAGGUGGACGUAUUUAGAAAGCCCUAUCAAAUUUCCCUUUCAAAAGUGGCACGAUAUUACCUUGAAAUAAGUGCGUUCUUAGCUGAAGAUAUUAUUCAAUCAAGAAUAGGAGCGUACCCAGUUAGAAAAAGAGAGAACUUGGCGAAUUUCACCCUAUUUAUUAGCUCGUCGCCGCCAGAUGUCACGCGCCUCUCACCGCGCCUCGCAACGCACCGCAAAACGCACCGCCAGUAGCUGUGGCAUACUUCAUAGGUUGUCUACCAUUUGUUUUCGCCGCUCCCGCUUGCCGCGCCUCACGACGCACCGCAAUUCGCACCGCUCUCGGCUGUGGCCAAGGGGUAAGAAAACAAUAUGGAUGCAAUUAUAUUCGAAAGAGAGAUCAUGUUCGGAUCAAGAGGACCACGCGAUAUAAACACUGGCGUCCUUGAUACUACAUUGAGGGUGCUAUUUAUAACUGGCAGAUGCUCCCCUUGUCCCGUGCCGACUAUUUUAGUACUCCCAUCCUCGCACCCCAGCGCAAUCCUUGCGCGUGCCUCCUCUAGAACGAAACUAGAUCCGUGCAAGGGGAAUUAUCAUACAAAUAUUUUCGCAAUUUAUUUUAGUUUAAUUUCUCUUUUGAAAUUUGAGGGAAUUAGUCAUAUUCUAAUAUCACGAAACUGAUCAUAUAAUGUCAGCUGUUACGUUGAAAUACAAUAAAGACGUAUAAUUUAGUUUUAAUAUUUAAUUUGGUGAUACUAAAUUGUAUUUAAAAUUAUUGUGAAUUAGGAAUCGCACUAUAAAACCGAUGUUGUUGUUGUUUUUUUUUAAUAUUUUACAAAUUUUCGGAAAAUAUCAGUAUACUGUUAAACAAAUCACGUACGUUAUUUUUUUUUGAGUUUAAUUUCAGCUCUUUGUAUUUACAUUUGAACGCAGAAUUAAAAUAUCGAAUUAAGAAUUCA